rnacentral:rRNA from 1 species
UGCGUAGGGGGCAAGCGUUGUCCGGAAUCAUUGGGCGUAAAGAGCGUGUAGGCGGCUCGGUAAGUCCGCUGUGAAAGUCCAGGGCUCAACCCUGGAAUGCCGGUGGAAACUGUCGAGCUAGAGUCCAGAAGAGGCGAGUGGAAUUCCUGGUGUAGCGGUGAAAUGCGCAGAUAUCAGGAGGAACACCAAUGGCGAAGGCAGCUCGCUGGGACGGUACUGACGCUGAGACGCGAAAGCGUGGGGAGCAAACAGG